GGGGACGAUUCUGGAUUCGACGGGCAUGUGAAGGGUAUGAACGGCAACCCGGGCUUCUGACUAACCCGUUAAACUGGUCAGGGCACUAAUAAAUGCCAACAACGAUUACGCACUGGCUGCUUAAAUAAUGCAGUCACGUUUUCCGAUGUCUCCAAUCCGCCGGGGAUGGGGAAAACGCCGUUUUUGGGCGGAUUACAAUUUCGGAAUUGUCUGCGGCCGGAAUUGUAAAAUCUAGCAGACUGGUCAACUGGUUGGCCCGCCGUUAAGCCGGCCAGUUGAUGAGAUUUAAUUAUCGGCUAUGGUUGUAGAUGUUCAUGCUGGUCCAUGUUCGGACCCGGGUUCGACUCCCGGCGUCUCCACAA
rnacentral:tmRNA from 1 species